GCUUACGGCCAUACCAGCCUGGGUACGCCCCGAUCUCGUCUGAUCUCGGAAGCUAAGCAGGGUAGGGCCUGGUUAGUACUUGGAUGGGAGACCGCCUGGGAAUACCAGGUGCUGUAAGGA
rnacentral:rRNA from 1 species